rnacentral:rRNA from 1 species
AUGGAUCGCUCGCCUGACAAGUUCUUCUUGCUCCUUAUGGCAGCAGCGGCGACCUGGAGCUUCUUCCUCGUCGCCAACGCAGGCAGGCUCCAGCCGAGCUGCAUAGGACGCGAGAGGGACGCGUUGCUGGCCUUCAAGCAAGGCAUGAAUGAUACCUACGGCGAACUCGGGUCGUGGCAGCGAGGGCACCAAGAUUGCUGCCAAUGGGCAGGCAUCACAUGCAACAACGUCACCGGCCAUGUCGUCAAGCUGGAGCUUGGCGAAAGAUAUUUGGUCGGCCAGAUAAGUCCUUCCUUGCUUUCUCUAGAGCAUCUCGAGUACCUCGAUCUCAACUGGACGAGACUGUAUGGACCUGAUGGUCGUGUUCCGGUGUUCUUGGGUUCCUUAAAGAACUUGAGGCAUCUUGAUCUGUCCGGCAUGCCUUUCUCUGGUAGGGUGCCUCCUCAGCUUGGCAACCUGUCAAAGCUGGAAUAUCUCGAUCUCUCUGGCAAUUAUUUCACUGGUGCGGUACCUCCUCAGCUUGGCAACCUGUCAAAGCUGGAAUACCUUGACCUAUCCGCCAUAUAUUUCAACAAUACGAGGAUGGUCUCAACUGACAUCUCUUGGUUAACUCGUCUACCUCUGUUGGCGCUUCUUGGUAUGAGUUAUAUCAAUCUCAGCUCAAUAGCCGAUUGGCCUCUUGUUGUCAAUAAGAUUCCAUCUUUGGAGUUGCUCGGUCUUUCCGAGUGCUCGCUUUCAAGUGCAAACCAAUCCCUAGCACACCUAAACCUCACAAAUCUUCACUACCUUGAUCUCUCAGAUAACUACUUUGGUCAUCCAAUUGCAUCCAGUUGGUUUUGGAACAUAACAAGCAUCAAGUACCUCGACCUUUCUGGUACCUCUCUCUAUGGUCCGUUUCCUAAUGCACUAGGAAAUAUGACGUCUCUCCAAGAACUUUAUUUUGGCCCCUAUUCUUCCGAUGGUGACUCACCCACCACAACUGCUAACACGGCCACAAUGACAGUAGACUUGAAAAACCUAUGUGAUUUGGAAUACCUAUUGCUUGAUGGAAGCCUCUCCUCUGGAAACAUAACAGAGUUUAUAGAUAAACUGCCAAGAUGUUCGUCCAACAGAUUGCAGCGUUUGAGGUUGAGCCGCAACAAUAUGGUUGGAAUUCUACCAAACAGAUUGGGGAACUUAACCAACUUAGCUUCGUUGGACCUUUCUCACAAUAACAUUACUGGAGCUAUACCCCUUGGCUUUGGGAAUCUCUCUUGUUUAGAAUACCUUCAUCUUUCUAACAACCUUCUUACUGGAGCUAUACCCCUUGGCUUUGGGAAUCUCUCUUGUUUAGAAUACCUUCAUCUUUCUAACAACCUUCUUACUGGAGCUAUACCGCUAGGGUUGGGAAAUUGCACUGCUGUUUAUCUCUCCAAUAACAAUCUUAGUGGACCUAUACAACUAGGGAUAGAGACUUGCACUAGAUUACAGUACCUUGACCUUUCUUACAAUAGCAUUACUGGACCUAUACCACCAAUGUUGGGGAAUUGCACCGAACUAUAUUACCUUACUCUUUCAAACAACCUUCUUACCGGAGAUAUACCACCAGGGUUGGGGAAUUACACUAGUUUGCAGUCUCUUUCUCUUUCGAGCAACCAUCUUACCGAACCUAUACUGCUAGGGACAACAAGUUGCACUAUAUUAGAAGACCUUGACCUUUCUGAUAACAAUAUUGCUGGAGUUAUACCGCCAUGGUUGGGCAAUUGCACUAGUUUGAGGCACCUUUCUCUUUCUAAGAACCAUAUCACUGGACACUUCCCAUCUAAGAUCAGUCUGCUCGGUAAUUUGACUGGACUCGACCUUGGCUACAAUAACCUAGAUGGCGUGAUCACAGAGGAACACCUUGUUACUCUAAAGAACAUAAACCAUCUGGACUUAUCACACAACUCUUUCUCAGGGCAUCUGCCAUAA